UGGAUUCUUGAGCUCCACAUGCAUGGAUUUGUUCAUGUGGCAGUUUAGCUUUCACAUGCACGUGGGUGGUUCGAGCAAUUGUGGCAAUUUGAAAAAAAUCCAAGCAUGAAGUCUGAAUGUAUCAACAAUGAGUUUUGUUGUAACUAUUUCUAUUUUGAAACAAGAAAAUGUCUCUAAUUUGUGAGAGUUAUUGGAUGUAUUAUAUUAUGGUCGAUACAUUUGUGCUGCAUAUGUGUUUAUCAUUUGCUACAUUUGUGCU